GACGAACGCUGGCGGCGUGCCUAAUACAUGCAAGUCGAGCGGACGAAUCGAAAGCUUGCUUUUGAUUCGUUAGCGGCGGACGGGUGAGUAACACGUGGGCAACCUGCCCUGUAGACGGGGAUAACACCGAGAAAUCGGUGCUAAUACCGGAUAACACGAAAUGUCGCAUGACGUUUCGUUGAAAGACGGCGCAAGCUGUCGCUACAGGAUGGGCCCGCGGCGCAUUAGCUAGUUGGUGAGGUAACGGCUCACCAAGGCGACGAUGCGUAGCCGACCUGAGAGGGUGAUCGGCCACACUGGGACUGAGACACGGCCCAGACUCCUACGGGAGGCAGCAGUAGGGAAUCUUCCGCAAAGGACGAAAGUCUGACGGAGCAACGCCGCGUGAGUGAAGAAGGCCUUCGGGUCGUAAAGCUCUGUUGUUAGGGAAGAACAAGUAACGCAGUAACUGGCGUUACCGUGACGGUACCUAACGAGAAAGCCACGGCUAACUACGUG
rnacentral:rRNA from 1 species